AGCCGGGUCGUCUAGCGGCCCAGGAUGCGGGGCCUUGGAUGGCAAAGGUAGCCAAAGGAACCCCCGUGACCGGGGUUCGAAUCCCCGCCCGGCUA
rnacentral:tRNA from 1 species